rnacentral:rRNA from 1 species
UAAAAAAAAAAAGAUAAUGACAACAAUUUAUCUAUUAGUCUUGACCAAAUUACGUGCCAGCAGUCGCGGCAACACGCAGAAGACAAGUGUUAUUCAUCUUUAUUAGGUUUAAAGGGUACCUAGACAGUAAAUAAAGCCAUAAUAGGAACUAAUUUGCUAGAGUUUUAUGGGAGAAAGUAGAAUUUAUAGAAGAGCGAUAAAAUAUUAUGAAACUUAAAGGACGGAUAACGGCGAAGGCAACUUUCUAUGUAAAAACUGACGUUGAGGGACGAAGCCCUGGGUAGCAAGAAGGAUUAGAUACCCCAGUAGUCCAGGGAGACAAUGAUGAAUGUCAUAGACUAGAUAAAUUAGUUUAUAAAUGAAAGUGCAAGCAUUCCACCUUAAGACUAAAGCGGUAACGCC